AGGUAAACCAGGUGAGCACUUUGCUGAGAGGUAUUCAGAUAGGACCUAGGUCAGUCGGAAAAGAAAGAAGCCUCACUGUUACAAGUUCCAUAUGUAGGCCGAAAUUCUGACACUGAAACUGCAGUAAUCUGUUGGAACUCAUUUGCCAAUAAAGAAGCAAGGAGACUAUUCCAGUUGCCCACAAACAUGAUAUUCCAUCUCAAACAAAGCAAGACGACAAGGCAGUGACUCUUAACUACCGUUUAUGAGAUUGGAUUCACCCCCAGCAAAGAUAUCAACUUCGUGUUCGACAGCGCCCGCACCCAUGUCAGAUUGUCUCGCUUGUCGAAGUUUGUUUUAUAGUUAAUAUUCAGGGUUGACAUUUGAUUUAGUUUGAAAUGUAAGGUUUGCUUUGGGUUGUAAUAUCAAAUGUGUAUCAAAUGAAGUGCAGCGUGUAACGAGUGUUUUAGUUAUGAAACUUCUGAUAAAAAUGGACUAAAUCCAAGCGUCAACCCUUCACGUCACUGGUUUAUUACUUGAGAUACGUAAAUAAGUUACAGCACAGCUCUCUAUUCACACCCAGUGUUUUUUAUUGUAAUUUGUUUAUAUUUUUUGUUUAUAACCACCAGUUCUCGAACCUGAAACGACACUUUUGGGAUGCUCUUCAAACAGAAAUAACGUCGCUGAAAUCAUUU